rnacentral:rRNA from 1 species
AUUGAACGCUGGCGGCAUGCUUUACACAUGCAAGUCGAACGGUAACAGGCCGCAAGGUGCUGACGAGUGGCGAACGGGGGCGUAAUGCAUCGGAACGUGCCCAGUCGUGGGGGAUAACUACUCGAAAGAGUAGCUAAUACCGCAUACGAUCUAUGGAUGAAAGCGGGGGACCGCAAGGCCUCGCGCGAUUGGAGCGGCCGAUGUCAGAUUAGGUAGUUGGUGGGGUAAAGGCUCACCAAGCCAACGAUCUGUAGCUGGUCUGAGAGGACGACCAGCCACACUGGGACUGAGACACGGCCCAGACUCCUACGGGAGGCAGCAGUGGGGAAUUUUGGACAAUGGGCGCAAGCCUGAUCCAGCAAUGCCGCGUGCAGGAAGAAGGCCUUCGGGUUGUAAACUGCUUUUGUACGGAACGAAACGGCUCUGGUUAAUACCCGGGGCUAAUGACGGUACCGUAAGAAUAAGCACCGGCUAACUACGUG